rnacentral:rRNA from 1 species
UCAAGAUCGAAACACAUCGAACGAUUCGGAGAACUUAUGAAGCAAGAGACAGUGGCUGCCACCACGGGACAACUAUCUCAGCCAUCGCCUCGUCCCCUCCUAGGAGGGGCACGGGGGGUACGGCCAGGGACGGAUGAAACACAAACUGGUGUAGCUACGUGCCAAGGGAAAAUUGAAAGGCACGGGCCCCGCAUUGGGCUUGGUGGCAUGGAGCUUCAUUGUGCUCCAUGCGGAUGGACACGACUCUCGAUAAUGGAUAUCUCGGCUCUUGGAUCGAUGAAGAGCAUAGUAAAAUGUGAUACGUGAUGUGAAUUGAAAAAUCCUAUGAACCAUCGAGUCUUUGAAUGCAAAUUACGCCCGAGGCCAGCCAACCGAGGGCACGUCCGCCUGGGCGUUAAGCGUCACAUCUCUCUGUGCCAACUCCAUCCCCUCGAUGGGUGCAUGUCGGCUGAGGCACGGACGUGCAGGGUGGCCUAUUGUGCCCUUCGGUGCGGAAGGCUGAAGAGUCGGUUGUCAUCUCACUGGCUGCGGGCAACGAGGGGUGGGUGAAAGCUGUGAGCACAUCCAGCGUUGUCUCGUGUGGAGCCUGAGAGAACGACGGUGCCCCCGAGGCGAUCUUGACCCAUGCACCAAUCUGCAUGCAACAGCUUGGAAU